AUCAACCGAGAUUCCCCCAGUAGCGGCGAGCGAACGGGGAGCAGCCCAGAGUCUGAAUCAGCAUGUGUGUCAGUGGAAGCGUCUGGAAAGUCGCAGGGUACAGGGUGAUACUCCCGUACACGAAGAUGCAUUUGCUGUGAACUCGAAGAGUAGGGCGGGACACGUGGUAUCCUGUCUGAAUAUGGGGGGACCAUCCUCCAAGGCUAAAUACUCCUGACUGACCGAUAGUGAACCAGUACCGUGAGGGAAAGGCGAAAA
rnacentral:rRNA from 1 species